UACGAACGCUGGCGGCAUGCCUAACACAUGCAAGUCGAACGAGACCUUCGGGUCUAGUGGCGCACGGGUGCGUAACGCGUGGGAAUCUGCCCUUCGGUUCGGAAUAACUCAGGGAAACUUGAGCUAAUACCGGAUAAUGACGUAAGUCCAAAGAUUUAUCGCCGAAGGAUGAGCCCGCGUAGGAUUAGCUUGUUGGUGGGGUAAUGGCCCACCAAGGCGACGAUCCUUAGCUGGUCUGAGAGGAUGAUCAGCCACACUGGGACUGAGACACGGCCCAGACUCCUACGGGAGGCAGCAGUGGGGAAUAUUGGACAAUGGGCGAAAGCCUGAUCCAGCAAUGCCGCGUGAGUGAUGAAGGCCUUAGGGUUGUAAAGCUCUUUUACCCGGGUAUGAUAAUGACAGUACCGGGAGAAUAAGCUCCGGCUAACUCCGUGCCAGCAGCCGCGGUAAAGUACAGUGU
rnacentral:rRNA from 1 species